GAUGAACGCUGGCGGCGUGCUUAACACAUGCAAGUCGAACGAUGAAGCCCAGCUUGCUGGGUGGAUUAGUGGCGAACGGGUGAGUAACACGUGAGUAACCUGCCCUUAACUCUGGGAUAAGCCUGGGAAACUGGGUCUAAUACCGGAUAGGAGCGUCCACCGCAUGGUGGGUGUUGGAAAGAUUUAUCGGUUUUGGAUGGACUCGCGGCCUAUCAGAUUGUUGGUGAGGUAAUGGCUCACCAAGGCGACGACGGGUAGCCGGCCUGAGAGGGUGACCGGCCACACUGGGACUGAGACACGGCCCAGACUCCUACGGGAGGCAGCAGUGGGGAAUAUUGCACAAUGGGCGCAAGCCUGAUGCAGCGACGCCGCGUGAGGGAUGACGGCCUUCGGGUUGUAAACCUCUUUCAGUAGGGAAGAAGCGAAAGUGACGGUACCUGCAGAAGAAGCACCGGCUAACUACGUG
rnacentral:rRNA from 1 species